rnacentral:lncRNA from 1 species
CCCAUGUCAAACCACCGCACAAGCCCCCGUAUGUUCCUAAACCACCUUAUUCCCCAAGCCCUAAACCGCCUUACGUGCCAAAACCACCUCAUACUCCAGUCCCUAGGCCACCAUAUUUCCCCAAACCACCUUACACACCAAGGCCUAAGCCACCAUAUGCGCCAAAACCACCUUAUACGCCAACCCCUAAGCCACCAUAUUUCCCCAAACCACCUUACACACCAAGGCCGAAGCCACCAUAUGUGCCAAAACCACCUUAUACGCCAGCCCCUAAGCCACCAUAUUUUCCCAAACCACCUUACACACCAAGGCCUAAGCCACCAUAUGCACCAAAACCACCUUAUACGCCAACACCUAAGCCACCAUAUUUCCCCAAACCACCUUACACACCAAGGCCUAAGCCACCGUACGUGCCAAAACCACCGUACACACCAAGGCCUAAGCCACCGUACGUGCCAAAACCACCAUACACACCAACCCCUAAGCCACCGUACGUGCCAAAACCACCUUACACCCCAACCCCUAAGCCACCGUACGUGCCAAAACCACCGUAUACCCCAACUCCUAAGCCACCGUACGUCCCAUCGCCACCUUAUACCCCUCG